GACGAACGCUGGCGGCGUGCUUAACACAUGCAUGUCGAAUGGACGGACAGAGAGCUUGCUCUCUUGAAGUUAGUGGCGAACGGGUGAGUAACGCGUAAUCAACCUGCCCUUCAGAGGGGGAUAACAACGGGAAACCGUUGCUAAUACCGCGUACGAUUCAUGAACGGCAUCGUUUAUGAAUGAAAGGUGGCCUCUAUGUAUAAGCUAUCGCUGAAGGAGGGGAUUGCGUCUGAUUAGCUAGUUGGAGGGGUAACGGCCCACCAAGGCAAUGAUCAGUAGCCGGUCUGAGAGGAUGAACGGCCACAUUGGGACUGAGACACGGCCCAAACGCCUACGGGAGGCAGCAGUGGGGAAUCUUCCGCAAUGGACGAAAGUCUGACGGAGCAACGCCGCGUGAGUGAUGAAGGUCUUCGGAUUGUAAAGCUCUGUUAAUCGGGACGAAAGAGUUCUGCGUGAAUAAUGCAGAAAAGUGACGGUACCGGAAUAGAAAGCCACGGCUAACUACGUGCCAGCCGCCGCGGUAA
rnacentral:rRNA from 1 species